AUUGCUUCUCGGCCUUUUGACUAAGAUCAAGUGUACAUAUCUUGUCAGUUUAACAUAUGUCCUCUAUCCAAGGACAACAUAUUAAGUGGUUUUUUAGAGCAGGGAGACGGUGUGUUGACCUGGCAGUACAGUGCCUUUGGAGAACAAUGCUCCCCCC
rnacentral:snRNA from 1 species